UACGUAGGUGGCAAGCGUUGUCCGGAAUUAUUGGGCGUAAAGCGCGCGCAGGCGGUCCUUUAAGUCUGAUGUGAAAGCCCACGGCUCAACCGUGGAGGGUCAUUGGAAACUGGGGGACUUGAGUACAGAAGAGGAAAGUGGAAUUCCACGUGUAGCGGUGAAAUGCGUAGAGAUGUGGAGGAACACCAGUGGCGAAGGCGGCAUCCUGGACCGGCAUUGACGCUGAGGCGCGAAAGCGUGGGGAGCAAACAGG
rnacentral:rRNA from 1 species